rfam:Loxodonta africana cont3.81185, whole genome shotgun sequence.
ACAGGCACUUGGCACCCUUGUGAUGUCAUACAGAGAAGUCACAGGGGUGGUACCUAAGGGUCUGU